GCCCGCUCAGAAACUACAAAUGAAUUGACGGGGCCCGGCACAAGCGGUGGAGUAUGUGGUUUAAUUCGAUGCAACGCGAAGAACCUUACCUGGUCUUGACAUCCCGGAGACCCUUAGGAAACUAGGGGGUGCUUCCAUCUGGAAGAAUCUGGAGACAGGUGCUGCAUGGCUGUCGUCAGCUCGUGUCGUGAGAUGUUGGGUUAAGUCCCGCAACGAGCGCAACCCUUGCCUUUAGUUGCCAGCAGUUCGGCUGGGCACUCUAAAGGGACUGCCGGUGUUAAACCGGAGGAAGGUGGGGAUGACGUCAAGUCCUCAUGGCCUUUAUGACCAGGGCUACACACGUACUACAAUGGCCGAUACAAAGGGCAGCGACACUGCGAGGUGAAGCCAAUCCCGUAAAAUCGGUCUCAGUCCGGAUUGGAGUCUGCAACUCGACUCCAUGAAGUUGGAAUCGCUAGUAAUCGUGGAUCAGCAUGCCACGGUGAAUACGUUCCCGGGCCUC
rnacentral:rRNA from 1 species